UACGUAGGGUGCAAGCGUUAAUCGGAAUUACUGGGCGUAAAGCGUGCGCAGGCGGUUGUGCAAGACCGAUGUGAAAUCUCCGGGCUUAACUCGGAAACUGCCAUCGAUACUAUAGGUCUUGAAUUAUCUGGAGGUGAGCGGAAUAUGUCAUGUAGCGGUGAAAUGCUUAGAUAUGACAUAGAACACCAAUUGCGAAGGCAGCUCACUACGGAUAUAUUGACACUGAGGCACGAAAGCGUGGGGAUCAAACAGG
rnacentral:rRNA from 1 species